rnacentral:rRNA from 1 species
AGUGAACGCUGGCGGUAGGCCUAACACAUGCAAGUCGAACGGCAGCACAGUAAGAGCUUGCUCUUACGGGUGGCGAGUGGCGGACGGGUGAGGAAUACAUCGGAAUCUACUUUUUCGUGGGGGAUAACGUAGGGAAACUUACGCUAAUACCGCAUAUGACCUACGGGUGAAAGCAGGGGAUCUUCGGACCUUGCGCGAUUGAAUGAGCCGAUGUCGGAUUAGCUAGUUGGCGGGGUAAAGGCCCACCAAGGCGACGAUCCGUAGCUGGUCUGAGAGGAUGAUCAGCCACACUGGAACUGAGACACGGUCCAGACUCCUACGGGAGGCAGCAGUGGGGAAUAUUGGACAAUGGGCGCAGGCCUGAUCCAGCCAUACCGCGUGGGUGAAGAAGGCCUUCGGGUUGUAAAGCCCUUUUGUUGGGAAAGAAAAGCAGCAGGUUAAUACCCCGCUGUUCUGACGGUACCCAAAGAAUAAGCACCGGCUAACUUCGUG